CAAGAGCGUAUGUAAAAGUUGUUGCAGUUAAAAAGCUCGUAGUUGAACCUUGGGUUUGGUUGGCCGGUCCGCUUUUUUGCGAGUACUGGAUUCAACCGAGCCUUUCCUUCUGGCUAACCAGUCGUUUCGGCGGCUGGCGAACCAGGAUUUUUACUUUGAGAAAAUUAGAGUGUUCAAAGCAGGCAUUAGCUUGAAUAUAUUAGCAUGGAAUAAUAGAAUAGGACGUUAUGGUUCUAUUUUGUCGGUUUCUAGGACCAUCGUAAUGAUUAAUAGGGACGGUCGGGGGCAUCAGUAUUCAGUUGUCAGAGGUGAAAUUCUUGGAUUUACUGAAGACUAACUACUGCGAAAGCAUUUGCCAAGGACGUUUUCAUUAA
rnacentral:rRNA from 1 species